rnacentral:rRNA from 1 species
CUGUAAGCCGUUGAAGGUGUCCUGUGAGGGGUGCUGGAGGUAUCAGAAGUGCGAAUGCUGACAUAAGUAACGAUAAAGCGGGUGAAAAGCCCGCUCGCCGGAAGACCAAGGGUUCCUGUCCAACGUUAAUCGGGGCAGGGUGAGUCGACCCCUAAGGCGAGGCCGAAAGGCGUAGUCGAUGGGAAACAGGUUAAUAUUCCUGUACUUGGUGUUACUGCGAAGGGGGGACGGAGAAGGCUAUGUUAGCCGGGCGACGGUUGUCCCGGUUUAAGCAUGUAGGCGGAGGU